rnacentral:rRNA from 1 species
AGGACGAACGCUGGCGGCGUGCUUAACACAUGCAAGUCGAGCGGAAAGGCCCUUCGGGGUACUCGAGCGGCGAACGGGUGAGUAACACGUGAGCAAUCUGCCCUUAGCUUCGGGAUAGCCCCGGGAAACCGGGAUUAAUACCGAAUAUGACCUCGGCCGACAUCGGCUUUGGUGGAAAGUUUUUCGGCUAGGGAUGAACUCGCGGCCUAUCAGCUUGUUGGUGGGGUAAUGGCCUACCAAGGCGACGACGGGUAGCCGGCCUGAGAGGGCGACCGGCCACACUGGGACUGAGACACGGCCCAGACUCCUACGGGAGGCAGCAGUGGGGAAUAUUGCGCAAUGGGCGAAAGCCUGACGCAGCGACGCCGCGUGGGGGAUGAAGGCCUUCGGGUUGUAAACCCCUUUCAGCAGGGACGAAGCGAGAGUGACGGUACCUGCAGAAGAAGCGCCGGCUAACGUACGCGCCAGCAGCCGC